rnacentral:lncRNA from 10 species
UGGUCUUUACAAUUUGGCAUGUUUUUGCUGUGGCUGGUACCAGUUAUUCCUUUCCAUUUUUAGUGCUUCCUUCAGGAGCUCUUUUAGGGCAGGCCUGGUGGUGACAAAAUCUCUCAGCAUUUGCUUGUCUGUAAAGUAUUUUAUUUCUCCUUCACUUAUGAAGCUUAGUUUGGCUGGAUAUGAAAUUCUAAAUUGAAAAUUCUUUUCUUUAAGAAUGUUGAAUAUUGGCCCCCACUCUCUUCUGGCUUGUAGAGUUUCUGCCGAGAGAUCAGCUGUUAGUCUGAUGGGCUUCCCUUUGUGGGUAACCCGACCUUUCUCUCUGGCUGCCCUUAACAUUUUUUCCUUCAUUUCAACUUCAGUGAGUCUGACAAUUAUGUGUCUUGGAGUUGCUCCUCUUGAGGAGUAUCUUUGUGGCGAUCUCUGUAUUUCCUGAAUUUGAAUGUUGGCCUUCCUUGCUAGAUUGGGGAAGUUCUCCUGGAUAAUAUCCUGCAGAGUGUUUUCCAACUUGGUUCCAUUCUCCCUGUCACUUUCAGGUACACCAAUCAGACGUAGAUUUGGUCUUUUCACAUAGUCCCAUAUUUCUUGGAGGCUUUGUUUGUUUCUUUUUAUUCUUUUUUCUCUAAACUUCUCUUCUCACUUCAUUUCAUUUAUUUCAUCUUCCAUCACUGAUACCCUUUCUUCCAGUUGAUUGAAUCAGCUACUGAGGUUUGUGCGUUCGUCAUGUAGUUCUCAUGCCUUGGUUUUCAGCUCCAUCAGGUCCCUUAAGGACUUCUCUGCAUUAUUAUUCUAGUUAGCCAUUCGUCUAAUUUUUUUUCAAGGUUUUUAACUUCUUUGCCAUGGGUUCGAACUUCCUCCUUUAGUUCGGAGUAGUUUGAUCAUCUGAAGCCUUCUUGUCUCAACUCAUCAAAGUCAUUCUCUGUCCAGCUUUGUUCCAUUGCUGGUGAGGAGCUGCGUUCCUUUGGAGGGCAGAGGCACUCUGAUUUUUAGAGUUUCCAGUUUUUCUGCUCCGUUUUUCCCCCAUCUUUGUGGUUUUAUCUACCUUUGGUCUUUGAUGAUGGUGAUGUACAGAUGGGGUUUUGGUGUGGAUGUCCUUUCUGUUUGUUAGUUUUCCUUCUAACAGUCAGGACCCGCAGCUUCAGGUCUGUUGGAGUUUGCUGGAGGUCCACUCCAGACCCUCUUUGCCUGGGUAUCAGCAGCAGAAGCUGCAGAACAGCGGAUAUUGGUGAACAGCAGAUGUUGCUGCCUGAUCGUUCCUCUGGAAGUUUUGUCUCGGAGUACCCAGCCAUGUGAGGUGUCAGUCUACCCCUACUGGGGGAUGCCUCCCAGUUAGGCUACUUGGGAGUCAGGGACGCACUUGAGGAGGCACUCUGUCUGUUCUCAGAUGUCCAGCUGUGUGCUGGUAGAACCAGUGCUCUCUUCAAGGCUGUCAGACAGGGACGUUUAAGUCUGCAGAGGAUUCUGCUGCCUUUUGUUUGGCUGUGCCCUGCCCCCCAGAGGUGGAGUCUACAGAGGCAGGCAGGCCUCCUUGAAUUGCGGUGGGCUCCACCGAGUUCGAGUUUCCUGGCCGCUUUGUUUACCCCCUCAAGCCUCGGCAAUGGUGGGCGCCCCUCCCCCAGCCUCACUGCCGCCUUGCAGUUUGAUCUCAGACUGCUGUGCUAGCAGUGAGUGAGGCUCUGUGGGUGUAGGACCCUCUGAGCCAGGCAUGGGAUAUAAUCUCCUGGUGUGCGAUUUGCUAAGACCAUUGGAAAAGCGUAGUAUUAGGGUGGGAAUGACCCAAUUUUCCAGGUGCCGUCUGUCAUCCCUUUCUUUGACUAGGAAAGGGAAUUCCCUGACCCGUUGUGCUUCCCGGGUGAGGCAAUGCCUCGCCCUGCUUCAGCUCAAGCUUGGUGCGCUGCACCCACUGUCUUGCACCCACUUUCCAACACUCCCUAGUGAGAUGAACCCGGUACCUCAGUUGGAAAUGCAGAAAUCACACGUCUUCUGCGUCGCUCACGCUGGGAGCUGUAGACUGGAGCUGUUCCUAUUCGGCCAUCUUGGCUCCACCUGUCGAGAUAUUUUACAUUAACUUUCUAUGACAUACUUAUAGCAAAACUUAUUUUUUCAUGCAGAAUAGUCUAUAUUCUAUAUUUAUUGUAAAGCAUAUACCGUACAUGGUGACUAGUCACCAUGCUGUACAAUAAAUUUUCUGAACUUAGUCAACUGUAUUUACGUAUUAUUUUACAGAGAUCUCUCCAAAUGCCUCUUUUUUUCUGAAUAAACAAGCAUCCAGUAACCAGCAUUUUGCCGUCUGGCUUAUUUCACUUGGCAUAAUGUACUCUAAAUUUAUCCAUAUUGUUUCAAAUGACAAGAUUUUUUCUCUUUUAUUACCAAGUAGUAUUUCAUUGUGUGUAAACACAUUUUUAAAAAUUUAAAUAUAUAGUCAUCUAUUGGUUGAAAAACUCAUGUAAUGAAAAUACAUUUGUGUUAAAGCAUGUAUUAAUGUAAUUCAGCAUGUAAAAUUUUAUUAAUCAUAGCUAAUUUGUGCCAAACACUAAAACUCUAUGUGUGUUAAUAAAUUUAAUUCUCACAGUAACUCAAUAACAUAGGUACUUAUUUUACGGAGAAAGAUACAGAGCCACAGAGAAAAAUGACUUGGUCACAUUGCAAAACCAGUAUUAAAACACAAGCAACUUUGACUUCAGAAAUAACUCUUGUCUAUUAUAGUAAACACCUUCUUCAAACAAAAUAAAUGAUUAACAACCAUUCUUAGUAAAAAUUUAACAAAAA